rnacentral:rRNA from 1 species
CGUAGGGUGCGAGCGUUAAUCGGAAUUACUGGGCGUAAAGCGUGCGCAGGCGGUUUUGUAAGCCAGAUGUGAAAUCCCCGGGCUCAACCUGGGAAUGGCAUUUGGGACUGCAAGGCUGGAGUUUGGCAGAGGAGACUGGAAUUCCCGGUGUAGCAGUGAAAUGCGUAGAUAUCGGGAGGAAUACCGAUGGCGAAGGCAGGUCUCUGGGCUAUAACUGACGCUCAUGCACGAAAGCGUGGGGAGCAAACAGGAUUAGAUACCCUGGUAGUCCACGCCCAAAACGAUGUCGACUGGUUGUUGGGGGUUUGACACUCUCAGUAACGAAGCUAACGCGUGAAGUCGACCGCCGUGGGGAGUACGGCCGCAAGGUUA